GGGGGAUAUUGCACAAUGGGGGAAACCCUGAUGCAGCAACGCCGCGUGAAGGAAGAAGGUCUUCGGAUUGUAAACUUCUGUCUUUGGGGAAGAAUAAAAUGACGGUACCCAAGGAGGAAGCCACGGCUAACUACGUGCCAGCAGCCGCGGUAAUACGUAGGUGGCAAGCGUUGUCCGGAUUUACUGGGUGUAAAGGGCGUGUAGACGGGAUGGCAAGUCAGAUGUUUAAUUUAUGGGCUCAACCCAUACUAGCAUUUGAAACUGUUGUUCUUGAGUGAUGGAGAGGAAAGCGGAAUUCCUAGUGUAGCGGUGAAAUGCGUAGAUAUUAGGAGGAACACCGGUGGCGAAGGCGGCUUUCUGGACAUUAACUGACGUUGAGGCGCGAAAGUGUGGGGAGCAAAC
rnacentral:rRNA from 1 species